CUACAAAUAGAUAAGACAAAAACCUUAUUUUUUCUCUUUUUUUUGGAAAACUUAUUUAGCUACUGCAGUUUUAAUGGAAACAAUUGUGAAAUUGAGUGUGUUUUUUUUUUUUUUCUUCACGUUUGGGGAACAUCGACAAAGUUUUGCGCUCGCAUUUGUAACAGAAGCGCAGCUCCUGGUUCCGAUCGGCUUCCCUUCAGGCAGAGCGUCCUGACGCCCGCCGCUCCUCCAGCCACGCGCCAUGAAAUGAUUCCAUCUCUUCUUCUCCUCACAAAACCCAUUCCCAGAUUCAAGAACCCGUUUGUUAAAGACGUAUGGAUUAAAAGGUCCGUCUUCCUACACUGAGCCUUUUCAAAUCAGCUGUUUCUCCAGACAACAUCGUUCAUGUGGGUCAGACCGUCAACAGAACCAAGACAUCAGGUGCUAUAUGAAUAAAGAUGGAAGGGUCUUCCAUCACAUCCAGAUUACCCUCAAGUAAAAUCACUGGUCUGGGAAAUUAAGAAGAUCACAUACAAUCAACCAUGAAAAGCAUGUGCAAUACAUUUCAUGGCAAUCUGUCCAACCUCAGCCACUUCUGAUUGACGAAAUGGAAUCUGUUGUUCUCUGGUUGCAGCGAAGGCAGCAGGUUUGGUCAGAGCGCUUGUUGGCAUGAUGCCGCUUAUUGUGAAGCAAAAAGAAAAAUAAAUGUAUUUUCUAAAAGU